GCGCAAAGAAGCGAUGGCUGCCCUGAUGGAAGUGACUUGCAACAGCGAUUCAGACUCAUCCAGUGAACGAGAAAUGGAACGCGAAGUUACAGUGAUUUGUGGUUGCACUAAGAAGAGCAAGUGUGCCAGAGCGCGGUCAAGUGGUCGUGGAUGCGUUUGCAAGGCAAACAAGACCAACUGCACGCCUUUGUGUAACUGUAGCCGCACGUGUUGCACAAAUAGGGUAGGUUGAUGUAGACGAGUGUACAAAUUGGAACUCCAAAACCGCUGUAAAUAUAGGCUGACGCCACAAAUGAUCCGUCAUCUGCGAGUGCUGUCCAUCGUCAGCUUCCUCCGAGGGAGCGCUUCUAUUCGGGAGAUGAAGUCAGGAUUACCUGCACGACUACUUUGUCUCUGAAUUAACUUUGCUGUUGGAGGUGGUGGUAUUGGAGCUAUUGUAGGAGCAAUGUGACAAGGAUGUUCUGCAGCGAUUUGUGUUCUGUCAUCUAUUGUCCCUGACGCUGACAUUCGCAUCUGGAGGCAUCUUCUCGUCAAUUCAGAUUGAACGAUGUACAGAAAAGAGCAAUUUUGCUGAAGUUGUUGCCAGACAAAAGAAUUGAAGAUGCCAUCAAGACAUUGUUAACAAAAAAGGAUUUUGCCCAGAAGCUGGAUUAUACAGUCAACAUCACACACAACACGUUGUUCAUUCACAGCUUCUUCAGGACUAUUU